GGGGCUGUAGCUCAGCGGGAGAGCACUUCCCUCGCACGGAAGGGGUCGGGCGUUCAAAUCGCCUCAGCUCCACCA
rnacentral:tRNA from 11 species